rnacentral:pre_miRNA from 1 species
AGGAGGAACAGCCCCAGUGGUGGGGCCAGCCCUGGAGCCCUGGAGUCAGCCCCCGCAGGAACUCCGGAGCUCUCCGUCUGCAGGGCCUGGAGGCUCCGGGGCGGG